rnacentral:piRNA from 1 species
UGGAGGUUAUAGGCACACAGUCAUACCUGG